rnacentral:misc_RNA from 1 species
AACGCACGAGACCUGCGGACCUGCGGAAGGAUCAUUAUAGAGUUUUUAACUCCCAAACCCAUGUGAACUUACCUUUGUUGCCUCGGCGGAGCCUACCCGGUACCUACCCUGUAGCGCCCCGCCGGUGGACUUCUAAACUAUUGUUAUUUUAAUGAUAUCUGAGAGUCUUAUUUUAAUAAGUCAAAACUUUUAACAACGGAUCUCU